UUGGGUAAAGGAGACUUGGUUGCCUGGAGGAAGAAAAGGCCCAGGGGCUGUCUUCCUGCAGACUUCCAAGAGAACAGAAAGAAAUGCCUGGAUUCCAGUCCAGCUUUGCUGAGUUCUUGGAGAGGACCUUCAUGCCUACAAAGGAAAAGGUGAAACCUGAAGAUACAGCUCCAAGUGACAACGCUUGCUCUGAGGCUAUGAUAGCUGAUGAAGAAUUAUGUUCCUCUUAAAGGCAAUAAGAAAGGAACUGAAGAAAAAUGAAGACUUAGGUACUCACAAAAGACUACCGCUUUCUUCCUGAUUCGUUCUGAAUAUUGUCCAAAGAUCAAGAGUGAAUCACGGGGCUUGUCCACUGGGAAUGUAGCAAGGAAAUUGGGUGAGAUGUGGUCUGAGCAGACAGCCCAAGAUAGACCACCAUGUGAAGAGAAGGCAGCAGAACUAAAGGAAGAAAGAGAUACAGGAUAUUGUAUGCCUUGAGAGGGCAGAGGUGAUGCAAGAUACAAUGGCCCUAGUGGGCCAGGAGGCUCAAGGAAGAAUGAAUAG
rnacentral:lncRNA from 1 species